CACCAGCAGCGGCUGCUCUGUAUUGCGUCCCUUAUCGGCUUUUGUUAUCUAGUGUUUAUCAAGGCUCUUUAUAAACACAAACUCCCAAAUCUAUUUCUGUAUCAAACUGUCCGUUUGUCUACCUGUCUACCUCCCUGUGUGCCUA